GUAUCAAAUAUUCCUGUUGCCUGAUUUCAGGGCUCUGUUGCUCAGAAGAUCUCUCGUUUACUUUGAACACUAAAUACAGCCUGCAAGAUAAUUAUGGUGGCAGGAACUGCUUUGGAUCACUCUCAGGUGUUGUGGGAGCAUUUGAUUUUUGGUGAGACUUCUUGAGCAUUCCCUGCAUUUUCCUAAAGAGCUGCAGGAGUCAAAUUUCUGGUAAGAAACUAGUCCUUUUCUCCCCUUAGUGAACAGCCACUCCAGAUUUUGUGAGGCUACAGCAAGACUUUAAAAAGAAGAAACUGAUAACAAACUGGUAAA
rnacentral:lncRNA from 1 species